rnacentral:tRNA from 1 species
UGCUUUAAUAGUUUAUUAAAAAUACCGGUCUUGUAAGUCGGAGAAGAAUUCCUUUUUCUUAGAGCAUC